rnacentral:rRNA from 1 species
GCUCGUGUCGUGAGAUGUUGGGUUAAGUCCCGCAACGAGCGCAACCCCUGCUGCCAGUUGCCAACGGGUGAAGCCGGGCACUCUGGCGGGACUGCCAUCGACAAGAUGGAGGAAGGUGGGGAAUGACGUCAAGUCAUCAUGGCCCUUAUGUCCAGGGCGACACACGUGCUACAAUGGCCGGCACAGCGGGAAGCGAGGCAGUGAUGCCGAGCGGAUCCCUUAAAGCCGGUCUCAGUUCGGAUUGAAGUCUGCAACUCGACUUCAUGAAGCUGGAAUCGCUAGUAAUCGCAGAUCAGCCAAGCUGCGGUGAAUACGUUCCCGGGCCUU